CACGUGGGUAACCUGCCCAGAAGUAGGGGAUAACACCUGGAAACAGAUGCUAAUACCGUAUAACAGAGAAAACCGCAUGGUUUUCUUUUAAAAGAUGGCUCUGCUAUCACUUCUGGAUGGACCCGCGGCGUAUUAGCUAGUUGGUGAGGUAAAGGCUCACCAAGGCAGUGAUACGUAGCCGACCUGAGAGGGUAAUCGGCCACAUUGGGACUGAGACACGGCCCAGACUCCUACGGGAGGCAGCAGUAGGGAAUCUUCCACAAUGGACGCAAGUCUGAUGGAGCAACGCCGCGUGAGUGAAGAAGGGUUUCGGCUCGUAAAGCUCUGUUGUUAAAGAAGAACGUGGGUAAGAGUAACUGUUUACCCAGUGACGGUAUUUAACCAGAAAGCCACGGCUAACUACGUGCCAGCAGCCGCGGUAAUACGUAGGUGGCAAGCGUUAUCCGGAUUUAUUGGG
rnacentral:rRNA from 1 species